UCUUGUUGUGUAUUAAGUUCCGAAUUGAAUUGACGUUUUGCAUAAAACGUCUUGCAAACAGCGAUAUUGCAAAGGCAAUAUCUCGGGCUGUAUGAUUCCAAACUAAGUUCCGUUUGCUGGUACGGAAACUUUGGGAUGUUAACUACAAUUGUCUAGUUUUAAUAUUUCUCUAAUUCUGCCUCUAAGAUGGUCAUCUGAGGCAAAACAUUUUUGUGUGCAGUCUGAACUGUUAUUCUGGACAGCUUGAGGUUUUAACUUCGAAGCUUGUUUUCGACACCUUCGAGUGCAUUUCAUGGUCCGAGACCUAAACAAAAGUUGUAGGCGACGUUCUAAACUAUAAGAAUGUCACUUUUGUUUAGAGGUCGGAUUAUUUUAGAUAAGCGUUUUGAUAGCCAAAGUGAGCUACAAAACAACCUUUAAAUAGAAAAUUGGAGAUGAGAAUUGUUAUUUAUUGCGCUAUUAUCGUAAUUGCGUAGAUUCGACGAGGCGACUAUCGACGGAGUUCAAAGUUCUUGAAUCGAGAUUAACGCUUUGCUUGAUUAGAGUAAAUGGAUAGCAAGUGGGAUGGUAUGAUAUGAUUUGAAGAGUUAAGCUUCCGAAGUUUUAAUUCUCGGAAGUCAUUUGUAUAAGAAGAAAAAGAAGGUUUUCAUUCUAGCAGUCCGCAGUAGUCUAGAUAUUUUAACUAGAAUUUUGUAUAACGCGUUUUUAACUCUGAUAUUAUUUGUAAAUGGGGUCACAUGUAUUUUAAUAUAUGAAAUAUGUUUUGA